rnacentral:misc_RNA from 1 species
AACGCACAUUGCGCUCCUUGGUAUUCCGGGGAGCACGCCUGUUUGAGAAUCAUUAAAAUCUCUCACCCUUGUUGGUGGAUCUGAACCUUUCUUUCCUUGCGAAAGAAUGGUUUGAAAUUGAAUGUCGGGAAAUCUUUCGGUACCAUUCCGUAUCAGGGUUUCAAGCGCAUGAAAGGGUGUUUACACUUUAUCUGGUCCGCUUGCCUUGUGGUAUGUUGAACUGAUUGGUUUUGCGUACUGGCCAGACGAGGCAACUCGAUUGGCAAUUCAAAGGGUGCAGUGGCAAUCUGUCAUCGAGCUCUUGAACUCUUGGUCUCAAAUCAGGUGGGAAAACCCGCUGAACUUAA